UGUACUUACGCGCAGCGCGUUGCGCCAACACCCGUUAUAUAGCGUGAGAGCUUGAACCUGGCGUUUUUGCUAACGUUGGUUAAAGACUUGCGUGGUCUAGCUAAGCAUACACGUUCUUGAAAACUGCGUGUGCGAUUUAAGAUUUACCACGUACAAGGCACUUGUAGACGCUACAAGAGUGCGUGAUCUGGAAAUUGCAAAAACGUUAAUAUCAAGCACAACCCUCUUUUUUUUUUGGAAUCGCUGUACUUCGGGCUCCUAACAGUUGCCGUUGGGCUCUGUAAGCAGGAAAGAUGCGAUCAUAUCUCUUUUAUGUGGCUACAUCUCUUUUAGUAUGCGGCCGUGCGAUAGCUGAUAUCGGAGAAGAUGAUGUGCGGCAGAGCGUGCUGGAUGGCCUCGCGAACGGCUAUAUUCAGCUGGAAGGACAUCAGGUUUUCUGUCACACAGUUCCUCGUUGUUAGGUACAAAUUCGACCUGACUCGGGGUUUCCUGCUUCUGCGCAUGACUGAAAUACGAGAUGCGGAAUGCAGAACGGUGGUGACUAAACGAAACUACGUGUUCACCACCUGCUUACUUUGACAUCUCUCGAAGCGUUGCAUCUUACUACGUCUCACCGGAAGAAAGCGUAUUUGGCAGCUUCAAGGGCUUCAAUGCCAGCGCUACUGUUAGAAAAGGCAGCGUACAUGUUUCCAUGACGCUUAAGCCACCCGGUCGCACACGUUACGGUGAUCCUUUGAUGGUGACAGUGUACGUGAGAGGGACAAGAGUUGUUGUCAGUCAUCCGGCAAACAUAUUUGGUUCUUCAACAGUAAAGAGAAGGUUUCAGAGAAAAGCCCGCAACCACAUUACUAGAAAGAUCGUGGAAGCUCUGGAAAAAGCUUGCAAGGAACCUGGAAAAACGCCUUCGUGAGAUUUUGCGGAAGUCUCGGGGAAAAACAUCAACUGAUGUGGCAAGCACAAGCACCACGACAACAGAAACUCCUGUAAAAACCAAUAGUUCAACAAAGCCGCCGUCAUCUACGGUCAUAAAUAACUGUUAAUAGAUGUCUGUGUUGCAAUAAAUACCGAUGCGUGGC